AGAGGCAUGCAUCCAAUGUGUCCUCCAAACCCCCACAAUCCUUUGCACUCAUGAAAACUAAUUGGUGAAAGGUGAAUCCGCACUGAACUCAUUAUGUCAUGCAGGACAAGAAAUGACUUUGAAGGCGAAGGUUUCCUUUGUUUAGUUGUAAAUAAUGUGACCGAGACCACGGACGGUUGUCAUUACCUCUUUUUGUAUGAUUUUAUUAGAGAUUUUGAUAUGAAGUAUUUAAUUCAUGCUGUGACUGCAGUGUUCUCAGGAACUGAACACAUAUCACCAGCUCAGACUCGGUUCACUUCCUACUGAAGCGAUGAAAGACAACAUCCUGAAGAUACACUCAACACUUUAUUUGAUCAUUUUACAUAUAAAGGCGGCAGAAAAAUAAAGCAUGCAUGAGCGUAUUCUUCAAAUAAAAGGUUAAAUUAAGUGUCUGCAUAAGGCUAAUGUUGGUUAGAUGGUAUAGACCAAACCAAUACAAAACAUUUCGGCUCUGACAAUCGGAUCUGUAAAAAAAAAAGUACAGUACUGAAUAUUGAUGUUUGAAAGAGUGUUUCAGACCCAAAGCUGCAUCUCUUCAUCAGGUUAAAGACCGACCACACGCUGCUGAAGGAUGCGUCAGGCCUCGUGAUCAUGUAGUGAAAUACUUGGACUAGCUGCUUUAAAUACAAUCAAACAUUAUCAUUCAAACUAGCAUGCAAAUGUGUCUGUCUGGAAUAAAUGCACUAAAAACUA